AGGGGUGUAAUUCAAUGGUAGAAUGACGGUCUCCAAAACCGUUCAUGUGGGUUCGAUUCCUGCCACCCCUGCCA
rnacentral:tRNA from 1 species